ACGCUCGACCCUACGGGAGCAGCAGUGGGGAAUAUUGCACAAUGGGGGAAACCCUGAUGCAGCGACGCCGCGUGAAGGAAGAAGUAUUUCGGUAUGUAAACUUCUAUCAGCAGGGAAGAAACUGACAGUACCUGACUAAGAAGCACCGGCUAAAUACGUGCCAGCAGCCACGGUAAUCUGAGCGGGCUGGCAAGGC
rnacentral:rRNA from 1 species